UACAGAGGGGGCAAGCGUUGUUCGGAAUUACUGGGCGUAAAGGGCGCGUAGGUGGCCUUCUAAGUUGAACGUGAAAUCCCUGGGCUCAACCCAGGAACUGCGUCCAAGGCUGGGAGGCUUGAAUCCGGGAGAGGGAUGCGGAAUUCCAGGUGUAGCGGUGAAAUGCGUAGAUAUCUGGAGGAACACCGGUGGCGAAGGCGGCAUCCUGGACCGGUAUUGACACUGAGGCGCGAAAGCCAGGGGAGCAAACGGG
rnacentral:rRNA from 1 species